rnacentral:rRNA from 1 species
UACGUAGGGUGCAGGCGUUAAUCGGAAUUACUGGGCGUAAAGCGUGCGCAGGCGGUCUUUUAAGUCAGAUGUGAAAUCCCCGGGCUUAACCUGGGAACUGCGUUUGAAACUGGAAGGCUUGAGUGUGGCAGAGGGGGGUGGAAUUCCACGUGUAGCAGUGAAAUGCGUAGAUAUGUGGAGGAACACCGAUGGCGAAGGCAGCCCCCUGGGCUAACACUGACGCUCGAUGCACGAAAGCGUGGGGAGCAAACAGG